UCAUAUACUCUCGUCUUUGAGAACAUGCGUCCUUCGAAGUCCCGCCACAGCCAAAAGGUACAAACAAUCAAUACGGGACGUUAAAAAUUCGACUUCGUUGACGAUCUCAACGAUAGCCGGCAUUAAGGUUUUACCGUAUUUUUCACAAGAUCUGUGUAGAUUCGUGUUCAUUCUAGAUAGUAGAUUUGAACACUUCAGCGUAGCUUAUUGGUGUUCAAAAAAACUAUGGACUUUCUAUUCAUUGUCAGCAUCUGCUCUGUUCGUCAUUUGCGCUUCUGUUUUCUGCCCGACAUAAAAACUGCAUAAGAAGUGCAUAACUUUUCUACACCAAGAAAAGGUCGCCUGAUUAUAGGACGAAUCUCGACGAGGUGGCUGGCGUAGACGUAAUUCGUUGAGUUGACCGUCGGCUCGCUCAUUAAGUUUUGUAUCAUUGAAAAUGGUCGAGCUGAGGCAGAUAAGGCGAUGUAAUGUAUACUUUUUCAAGUAACUUUUGCUUAUUGUAGGUUAUAGGAGUAUAACAAUGAUGCGGUAAAGAGUGCUCUGUUUAUCUUAAAAACUUGCUAGAUUACCAUUUACUUUGUGCCGUUUCGAGAGGACCUGAUCUAUAAGAAGUUGUGACGUCCAUUUAAUUUCAGUACUGGUAAAAUACUGCGACAUAAAGGAUAGUAUAUUAUAGUUAUUAUUAUCAGUUGUGAUGAUGAUGAUGGUAAUCAUUAUUCAAAGUCAAACAUAUCACAGCUUUUAUAGGUAUAUUUAAUCCGUAACAUUCAGAAUCGUUAACAAUGCUAUCCAUUAUGAUUGUAUGGAUCGCAGUUAGCGUAGGUGUAUAUUACAACCUUCUCUAUUUGUAAAGGUUACGUACUAUGUAUCAUUCAAGCAGUGACUCCUGGUGUUUUGUAACCCGAGGCUUGGCCUUCCAAGUUAUCGUGCCGGCACAAACGCGUAUAAUAACUAGUUAUUUUGGUUACUGUCAAUUCGUUCGUUUGCGGGACCGAAAGGCCAAAUAGGUAUUAGACAUAAGUUGUGGCAGUUACAGCAUUAACCCUACCGCUCUUUUUUAUUUGAUUCGGGCUGAAUAAUUCUACUAUACAAAUCGGUUAUUAAGAAAAACUUAAUUCAAAACGAGGAUUUUACAUGGAGGGUGUCUUUAUUGACAGCUGGUGUGUAAUGCAGAGAUUUUACCCCAAUAAGCUUGUCCAGGUAAUACGAUCUAACACAAGACAUAAUAAAAAAGCUCUGUUAUUUCCAACCAAGGACAAUCGUUGAAAACUCCCACUUUCCAGUCCGGAAACUUGUCUUUAUUUAAAAACGUUUAGUAUCAACAAAGCGCACCAUUUUGAUCUAGCUAUCACUGACGUUUAGGAAAAUUACGAGUAAGAAACGUAUUACGCUGCUCGCACUAAAAGGCCUUGAAUGAAACAGAGUAAUUCCGGAUUAAACUUCUCUUUCCGAUGAAAGGCCCUAUCGGCGGGGCCGUGCUUUUCAGCUUUUUUGCUGGUGCACGCAGUGCCACUGUACUCUCACUGCGGACAAAGUUUCGAAAUAAAAAUACUAUAAUAUAGGCCAUUCUUCGGUGUCUGCGCUUAUUGUUCGCUAUAGAGGAAGACAUUUUACGCGCGCCCAAAUCGUAGUAAAUGAGAGCGCCGAAAAAUAAAACGAUUUUCCAUUCGUGCUACAAAGCAAAAUAUAUGACGCCUCCCAGUGCACAAUGAGAAAGUAAACAUUCACUGCGUAACAGCACAUCCCAUUAGUAUUUAAAAGAUAAUUACCAUUCAAGUCCAGAAAACUGUAGCAUAUUGAGUAACAAAAAAAUUAGUCAUCACUUUGACUAAUCAAUAUACCGUUGUCGGCUACCAUCAAAUAUUUGGGAAAGCAUACGCUAAAAUCAGCUAGGUCAUUAUUAUGGACGACACCCAGCACGUGAACAUAGGAUUUUAAGCAGAUAAGGCCUACAUUGUAAUUACUGAUGGCUUAAUCUUACUAUUGUGCAAAUACUUCAUGUGCUAACCCGUAUAUUUGUCGCGUCCUAUCAGUCCUAUCUAUGAGAUGUCCAGCACACACUGUUUUGCUCAUACAUAAUGCCUCUCUUCGCGCCUGUUGUCUUCACGGGUCAUGCGCGACCCACAACGUUACUUCACUGUUUGCUUCGAUGCACCGUAGAUCUUAUGAUGAGCUAUUUUUUCUUGUCGCUUCUGGCCGCAGUUUCUACUCUGUUCGACCGAAAGCACGCCUGAUGAAUAGAAAUGGCGACUUUGACCACCUUCCCCCGUAGAACUCCUCCCCGGCUUGUAUGUAGGUGUUCAAAGGGUUUCAAAGCACGUUCGGUCCAUCGCCCUUCCACUUCCCGUUUUCGUACCUAGCAAAGUUCUCGACCUGCCCGUAACCGCCUUUGGCCUUUAACGGGGUGUAAGAAGUCAGGGGGCAAACGGAAAAGGGCGUGAGGGGAAAGCUGCCUCUAACCGGGGCUUUUCCAUCACGCUGUCUAGGGGGCUUUGCUUGCCUCAUAUAGCGUUGGUCGCUGGACCCUUUUUUACCAUAUCAUCAGCAUCGAAAGCAGCAACCACUUGGAAGUAAGACCAAAGCCGGUUCAGGCACCGGUACUCGCUCUGCAUCUCGGGGGACUAGUGCAGUUACCACUUUCUUCUUCACGCUGUUGCGGCAGCGGCGAUCAGUAGCAGUGCACAUUGUCAGCAGUGUUCCCUUUUUCGCAAAAAAGCGAACAAUAAGGAAAAGGUUGGUUUGGGACGCCAGGCUAACAGCGGAAGAGCCAACGCCUUCGAUCUUACGCUUUGCGGCAACCAGCACGAGCGCAUCAAAUAGGAAUAGCUAUAAGAACGGGAAGUUGAAGGUGAGGGCAGGCCAUUCAUACGGACGGUAAACGACUUCAGUAAAGGGUUAGGGAAAUUGGUGAAGCGGGCGGUAAGAAGCGAAGAUGUUCGAAAGCACCCGUUGAGGUUGAAGAUAGGAGGGUUAACGGUAGUAGCAAGAACACAUGUAGUAGCAGUAGUGGGGAACCUCCUUGGUAUAGCCCCGGCGUGGCUUGUGUGGCCUCAUUCGCUUAUGCUACGGUAUGCCUUGCUACUCAGGCUCUGUUCUUCUGUUCUAUCCAAUUUUGUUCCAACUUAUACUCACUGUUCGCUUGCUAAGGUUUCUUUCCCCUCGUGCGGGAGUGACAUGGUAGUUAUGGCGGGAGGGCGAUGCCUCGACAAGUGUUCCUGUCAUAGAAGCUUCUCUCAUCUAUUUUUCUUUUAUCGCAUUCUCACUAUUUGUGUUUGACCUACCCUGCCUUACUGGUCGGCCGCCACAUCCUACGCAGCAAAAACAUCACCGUUGAGCGUAGUGCAGGCGAACAUCCGCUGCAGUGGUGGGGGAUUGCAGCUAUUUUUCGUUUCUUUGUGGUGUAGGUGGUCUUGUUUUCCUCCGACUGCUCCUUGGAUCUUUGAAGAUUUGGCCUCGUCCUCGGAGGCGCCGGUCAGUCGGUUCGAACCACCACGAACACGAAACAUUUGUCCAUCCCCAGCCAUUUAACCAACGAACGGUGCUUUUGCCACUAUCCACUAACAUCUGUCUAUCCAUCUAUACCCGUUCUCUCCAUUUCGACCUGCUCUUACCGCUGAGCAGCUGAUAGAUGUUUGGUUUGACUAACUCGGUCGCCUGCUAUGGGACAAGGGUGGUGGAAAAGGGGGCAGCGGAUAUGCCCCGACUCUACUCUUUUAACUUACAAGAUGGCUGCUUGUCUUGUCUGACUAGUACAGCUGAUGGUAAAGCUCGGGACUACUAGCACAGACAAGCCUUCUACAGACGGUAGGUGAAAAAUGCCAAGAAGUCGCCGUUACCGAGCUUUUUUGCGGUUUUCGUCUGGACGUCAUUGAGGACUCGGCAGUUUAUGUUAGUGCCGCCUCUAGUGACCCCUGCUAUUAUCCCGGUUUUACUGCUGAUAUCCGCACAGAACGACUUUAGCGACGGACGAGCACUGCCAUGAGCGAAGUUUAAGAGACAUAUUUGACCGGUAGCAGGCAUUCAGUUGCUGCAACCAUGCCGGGGCCUUCAUGCUCGAGCAGUCUACUGGCGCCCAUGGAAGCUUGCAUUGAUCGUAAGUAAUAGCUACUCAACUCACAAAAUUGAGAUGUCAAAAUGCAACGUGUUAUUAAAAAAACGACCGCGGUAAAAGUCAGCAUGAAGAAGCAUGAAGACGCGUGGAAAAGACUAAUAUAGCACGCUUAGAUGUCUCGAACGGUUUCACGAAGGUAGACGGUAGUGAGUACAGAAAUGGUAACCGGACUUAUGAUAGCCGUAAGCAUUGUAUAUACUGCCGUAAAUAUAAGUACCGUUCAUUUUCGACUUCCAUUAUUUUGCAGAAUGCGCCUUUAAUCUAAUUGUUUUCAUAUCAUUAUUAUUAACUUAUAACUACUGGUUAGCUAUGGCUAUAGCUUUCGACCUCGUUGCCAUGGCUUCACAAACUUCCGCGGUAGUCUCAUUUUGUUGUUGAGUUGAUACACACUGAAAAUUAUUGUGGACUUCAUACGAUUUCUAUAGUAAUAAAUGCAGCAGACGCUCAAAGCAGAAGAUUCCUGCGCUGCACAGAUAUUGUAUCAUAAUCGAAUAGAUAGGCGUAAUGUCAAUAAAAGCAUUUCUGUAAAUUCAUUAUCGAUCUUGAAUUUAAAGUACAUACGUCAUGACUGGGUCUGUAUAUACGAAACUGCCAGCUGUUGCUGAAGGAUUGUUCGUCCCUUUCAAGCCACCUUCUCACAGACUCCUGCCCUAACUUUCGUUCAUAAGCUGCCAGUUCCUCAUAAUUGCGUGUCUAAUGAUGAAUCCUGCUUCAGAUUGGUUAAAGCUUUAUCAAAUGCCAUAUUCCUUUAAAUAACGGGUGAGUCUGUAUUUCAUCAUCUGAUGCUGGAACGAGUGUCAACAGAAGCUCUCACUUCUUACCUUAUCAAGGCCAAAGAGCAAUAAGUUUUACUCUUGCCAAAAAAAGCAACCGUUAGUUUGAAGUUAGCCUAUCAAUCUUUCGUGUGGCCGUGAGUCCGGCUAAUUUCAAGUACUUUCAACCUGAGGGAUGAGCACGCAACUAUUUAUCAAUAGCUUUAAUGGUCUUCUUCUUCACAAAAUUGGUGCCAGUGUGAAACUGCAAUCAUCGGUGUGCGACUCGUUGACAAGAACUCGGCCUUCAGCCAUAUCUCUUUAAAUUCGACUGGAAGAAUCUCGGAUUGAAAUGCCAGAAGUCUUGUCGUACAGAUGGAAGCAUUUUUGGAAAUACAUGAAUUAGAUCUAACAUUGCUAGCUAAUGGCAAACAUAUGGGCGCUUAUUUUUAUAAUUCAGUCCUCUCAUUGAUGACAAGAAGUCAUCACUAGAUUUUAUUUGACCAUCUUGUGUCUUAUAGACGUUGUCAACUUUUAUACUAACGACACUACGCGGAACACGUGGUGGUAGAAGCCAAUGUGCUUUUAUUGGGUUUCUUGCUUUUCUUUUAUUCAUAGUCACCUUAGAAUGGGCGACUGGGUAUCACCCCUGAUUUAUCGUAAGUUAUAGCCGUCCUGUUUUUAUCUGAACGAAGCGAUUACGAUUAGGUAUAACGGGGUUCGGUCUCAUUAAAUUGUGGGGGUGCAGAUGUGUGCGUCCAAAACAGCAGCUUGAUCGUCGUUUAAUAAGCUAGUAAUGUAUUAUGCAAAUGACUAAGAAGUACGAUAAACCUUACUAUAGGUAAUUAUAGUACUAAUAACAACAAUAAGAUGCUUUUUUAAACGCAACCAAUUUCCCAGGUAUUUCACUUAGGUUGGCCAAGUAUACAUUUAGAGUUAUUUUGAGAAUGAAUUGGAUUUAAUUCAAAAGUUGCAUCGAGAUGUAACUAAAGUUUAGGGCCAAGAAACAUUAAAAAGACGUCUCAAUUGAAAGCGAAGAAGUUCAGUACUUUCAGAAGGCAAAAAAACUACAUUUUUUGGCUAUAAUAUCGAUUAUAGCAUCAGGCAAACUUCAAACUAAGAAGAUGUCCGAACCUAAAAAACAAUCAUCAUUUGUACGCAAUUAUUAAUACAUCUUAGGAUGACACAGAGCUGCACGCACUAGCAAUCUCUGUAGCAUAUUCUAUCAGUUCGAGGGGUCAGAACUACCUAUGAUUGCAAAUAUCUUCUGAAGGGUAUCUGGGGGCAUAGUUGCAACUGAUUAAGGUAACGUAUUACGUCGAACGAAGUCGAUGCUGUUUCGUUAGUGUUUGACUUCGACCGUUUUCUCGACGAACCAGGGGCAUAGAUGGAUAUAGGAAACUUGAAUCAUUAAGCUUGAUAAUUCGGUGUUUCGCGCUACACAAACAGUGUGAAUUAACAUUUAUAAUUUGAUAUUCCAUUUGAAAAUUGUGCUCGUUUUACAAAUCGAUCACUCAAUUAACGUUUCCCUUUUUGAGACUAAAAAACAUUUUGUUUGCAAUAAAAAUUUCACAAGUUCUCUUAAAGAGAACUUUUUUCUUGACUCUGAUUACGGCAACGUAAGACGUAAGUAUUUGCCGCGGAAGCUCCGUAUUCUUCAGUUAAUAAUUAUACACUUCAUAACGCGACCAUCGUAAAUUCGUUUACUCUUAUAGCUUUGUCCGUAUUUUGUUAGCACUUUCUUGCUUACUUGAUUUAACAUUAUAGCAAAAUGUCUUACAACGACAAUCCAAAAACAAUCUGUCUGACCGCCGACGGCUGUAUUGGCAAGUACAUCUAUCCGAACAUUGGCAAAGCACCCGUCUUCAGUGAACACCCCAGUGAAUUGCGCUGUGCAAAACAUCUUCUUCUCCUAGUCGUCACUGUUCUACGUUGUGGUCCGUCUGUUCAUGCUUCAUUACGUUCCGAUGACAGAUCUUCUCUGUGUCUCCCUUCCAAAAAAGUUGAUCCUUUCCAAAACCUCUGACUAAGCCAACAUGAUUCUGUCAGUGCACAAAAGUCGUAAAACGCUUUCUGAUCUGCUUAUGCCUUCGUUGUCCCCGAUAGCUACAAGUACAACUGCGACCUUUACCACCGCGGUAGGUAGGACGAAUAACUAGGCGCUAUGCUCGAACGAGAAGAAACGAUAUCAAAGUCUUACAGAAGCGUACAAGCGGGUUUGCACGGGUAACGACGAGACCCAGCCUUUGCUCCGUCGUGCACGAGAAGAACCGGAAAAAACUUGACAUAAAUGGAUAAUCUGCAAGUUAUCGUGAGUGAGAAUCUAUAAUCACCGGUCGAAUUUUGCAGGAGCGAUGCAGAGACGCAAAUAUUUGUCAGGGUUGAGUAAGGAAAUAAGCGGUUAAAGAUAGGAGAUAAAAACACAGAAUCAUCGAUGGAUUAUAUACAGUAUCUGGCGGUAGAUAAACACACUGCCAUACUGACCUGAGAGAAAAUGAUGAAUGGAACUAAGAAAACGCUAAUAUCGGGUCCAUAAAAAGGCUCUGGCAGAAUGAUUUUCAAAAGAUCUGGAUACAGUCGGGUACCACCAUGAGAUAUCGUCCUAGCGUGAAGGCUAGAAACGAGUAAGCAUGAUUAAUCACCCACUCAAAUUAUCGAUUUACCUGACGGCUUAUAAGUAACCUUCGAAGUAAGUGGAUGCGGCGCGCAGGCUCUUUUAUUGGGCUCUGGAGGAGAGCUUAAGCACCGAGCUGUCGUUGACUCGCACGUUUGUGAGAGAAACGCUAAAAGCAGAGGGAGGGUGAAUGGCCUUUCUUGUAGGAUAAUCCCGUGAUUCAAUAAGGACAUAAAGAAGGAAAACAGCCAUGAAGAAAGCCCGAAUAAAUAUAUGACGACCUCUAAUGAUUUGAUAUGCAUAUUCGAUAUCUUCUCUAAAACAAUACUUGCCGUACUGGAAAAUGUACGUCUGUAUAUUUAACACAAAGGUAAUAUUUUGACAAAGGUUGAGUUUUUGUACAGCUUCACGAGUUUACCCAUAUAGGCUCGGGGGGGCAUUCGAUAUACUUCGUAGUCGAUAGCAUCCGUAGUGCGUUAUCAAUCUUGCUUGCCUCAAGCACACUCUACGGAAGGCCAUGCCAGAAUAUAACUAACUCGAUUACCAGAAUGUGGCUUCGAAUAGAAAAGCCAUCGGUCCUCGGCUAAAGAUCUUCGCGGCGGGAGUACAGAAGGCUUUCAGCAGUAAUUUUGGUGUUUAACAGCUACGUAGCAAGAGUGUGGCUUCUUGUUUUUCGAAAUCCCUUAUUUCCUAGUUUAGCUUCAGGGCCUUCACAAUGUAUAUUAGCCCAUCUCAACCGUCUGGAAGCCUUCGUUUACAUUUAGCGCGCUUGCUUGUUAAUACAGGGUCUCGAUUAGACCAAGUCAUCAACAUGAUUGUUUUCUCUUUUUUUUUUUGAGCCAAAUAAAGCAUUUGCGAAUACUACCAACGUUUCCUAAAUGCUAUGAACGCUUUAUUUAUUUUUUGGUUUCAGGAAGGCCUAUCUCAAAAAUUAGUUUUAGCCAAAUUAGCUUUUUGCCAAUAUCUGAUAGAAAUAAAAACGAUGUUUAAACAAUUACGCGUCAUAGAAAACUAUUUAAACCAAUAAGGCUUAUUUUAUCGUAUCUCGAUUAGCUUAAUUAAUACUAUUGACAAAAAAACACUGUCGCUUAAGACCGCUUAAAAGAGCCCUUUCAGAGUAACUUACGAUCUAACUGACAUAGGAUUGGAGCUGUUUUGUUACUGCGAAGAAGUGUGCCACUUCGUUUAUGUUACAGUGACACAUAGUAUAACUGUAGUAUAGCAUGAAGUACAUCGUUCACAAACAGAUAGUUUGAAUCGCUAGCCCAACAGGCAUAGCCGCAGUUACUACACAUAUAAAUUGAUAUACAAUAAAUUCCCUAUUUCACAAUAGCUCGAGCUAUCUCGCAGCGUAUCUCUAACAUACUCAAUGGCAGUAACAAUCAAUACGAUUACUUCUUCAAGCGUAUUUACAAGCUGGACAAAACAAAGAAAAAAAAAACCGGGAGAACAACCACUAACACUCCUGGUAGAU